AUUCUCCAGGGAAGCGUGCCUCUGGGGAAUAUUUUCUUAGGAGACCCAUGAACAAUGAGAAAUUUUCCAGAGGGAAUGCCCAUGGGGUAGUGUACUUCAAAGGGAGAGAUCCAAGAUGAAAUGAGGCUCUUCAAAGGCCAGCUCCACUUCCCCUCUCAACAAGACAAAUGACUUCAAAGGGGAACCCACCAAGGGCUGGGUGGGGUUAGAAGGCCUUGAAGUGUAAAGCAGUGACAAGGAAUCUCUCCUGCCCUGCCACAGUCAGGACAGGAGAACCACAGACCUUGGAUACAACGCCUCAGAAAAACUAUCUCAGAAAGAAGCUUCCAAACAGAAGUUGUGCAUACUGUAAGGGGCAUGAAGGCAUGAAGAAGGCAACAUUGCAGUCCUGUGAUGGAGGGAACCUUUGUCAUAGAGAAAGGGCCGGAUCCAGAGUCUACUGCACUGGAGGGAGGUAUUCCUAUUGAUCUCAGUAGGCUUUGGACCAGUACCUGCAGAGAUUAUUUUCGCUGAGAGUUCUGAGGUACUUUUGAUAUUAAAAUCUGUGCAGGCAUAUUUAUGAAAGGAAGGUAUCUCCUUUGCUAGCAAAUGACAGCCUGGCUUGUACUGAUGAAUAAGGUACUUUCUACUUUCUACAGUGUUAUUUCUUUAUGUUUUAGCCUCAUCUCUCUUUCUAUUCCAGUUAAUUUGGAAUAGAUACAGAUCAGCUCUCAGGCUUCAGAGUGUAAAUUGAUCACCUGGAGAGGUCAGGAAGGCAUUUUUUCCUCACCACAUAUAGCACUGCACAAGAGAUUAGAGGUCUGUAUAACAAUGCCUGUAUUUCCACUUUCUGUGGAGUUUAUAGCUGCUUUAUCCUUUCUUCUUUUUGGAACCCACUGACUCUCAUAUUCAUUUUGCUUUAGUGGGUUAUGCAUGACUUUUGCUUCAAACAUUCAUGUAAGUUGAUUUUGAUUUUCCUGUGUGAAAUAUAGUUCUGUGUUAGUAUAGGAGAGAAGAUGAGUUGCCUGUUAGCAGACUGCUCUUGUUUCAUGGCAAUAAAUGGAUACCUUCUUUCUCCUGAAGUCA
rnacentral:lncRNA from 1 species